rnacentral:rRNA from 1 species
GACGAACGCUGGCGGCGUGCCUAAUACAUGCAAGUCGAGCGAGCGGAACUAACAGAUUUACUUCGGUAAUGACGUUAGGAAAGCGAGCGGCGGAUGGGUGAGUAACACGUGGGGGACCUGCCCCAUAGUCUGGGAUACCACUUGGAAACAGGUGCUAAUACCGGAUAAGAAAGCAGAUCGCAUGAUCAGCUUUUAAAAGGCGGCGUAAGCUGUCGCUAUGGGAUGGCCCCGCGGUGCAUUAGCUAGUUGGUAAGGUAAAGGCUUACCAAGGCGAUGAUGCAUAGCCGAGUUGAGAGACUGAUCGGCCACAUUGGGACUGAGACACGGCCCAAACUCCUACGGGAGGCAGCAGUAGGGAAUCUUCCACAAUGGACGCAAGUCUGAUGGAGCAACGCCGCGUGAGUGAAGAAGGUUUUCGGAUCGUAAAGCUCUGUUGUUGGUGAAGAAGGAUAGAGGUAGUAACUGGCCUUUAUUUGACGGUAAUCAACCAGAAAGUCACGGCUAACUACGUG